GCGGCGGUUGGUCCAGUGGCUAAGACACGUGCUUGCCAUGCGCGUAACCCGGGUUCAAAUCCCGGACGCCGCA
rfam:Candidatus Nanosalinarum sp. J07AB56 genomic scaffold scf_7180000039101, whole genome shotgun sequence.